CAGCAGCCACGGGAAAACGGAGGGUGCAAGCGUUAAUCGGAAUUACUGGGCGUAAAGCGUGCGUAGGUGGUGGUUUAAGUCCGUUGUGAAAGCCCUGGGCUCAACCUGGGAAUUGCAGUGGAUACUGGGUCACUAGAGUGUGGUAGAGGAUAGUGGAAUUUCCGGUGUAGCAGUGAAAUGCGUAGAGAUCGGAAGGAACAUCUGUGGCGAAGGCGACUAUCUGGGCCAACACUGACACUGAGGCACGAAAGCGUGGGGAGCAAACAGGAUUAGAUACCCCAGUAGUCCCUGUCUCUUAUAC
rnacentral:rRNA from 1 species